CACGUAGGGCGCAAGCGUUGUCCGGAAUUAUUGGGCGUAAAGAGCUUGUAGGCGGUUUGUCGCGUCUGCUGUGAAAUUUCGGGGCUCAACCCCGAACUUGCAGUGGGUACGGGCAGACUGGAGUGUGGUAGGGGAGACUGGAAUUCCUGGUGUAGCGGUGAAAUGCGCAGAUAUCAGGAGGAACACCGAUGGCGAAGGCAGGUCUCUGGGCCAUAACUGACGCUGAGAAGCGAAAGCAUGGGGAGCGAACAGG
rnacentral:rRNA from 1 species